CUUUAUUGUUUCUCCAGCCUGAACAUCUGAGUCUUCUUACAUUUUAUUUUACUUUGGCUCUGUCCAUCAACUGCCUCUGAAUGCACAUUCUCUGGCCUUCUCACAAGCUUCCAGUCAUCUGACUCUGAAGCAAGUCCCUCCCUCAGCUUUCUACCUACCAUUCUGGCCAUAAUCUACUUACCUGGUGAAGGUCUCCUUUGCAUCCACGAGUGAUAUCCAUCAGCCACCUCCAGGCCUCUGUUGAGCUCUCUGAUCCCCCUUUCUGCAGCCCAUCUAAUGAAGGCUGGAAGUGAACUGUUUACUGAGAAGGCUGAGCAGAGAGACAACUAACUUGGACUCAAUUUUCCAGAGCGCAAAGGCAAGGCAGAGAAGUGCUGUCUUCCCAUCACAAUGCCUCAGUCAUUCUUCAAUAAGUGUGCUGCGAAGACCCUGAAUCUCAAACACUGUUCAGGAUACACCUGCACGAGUCUGUUUAUGUGUAUGUCACAAAGGGAAAGGACAAGGAUUCCUCAGAUGUCCCUGGCACAUCACCAUUAACACUCAGCUGUAUCUUCAUGGCAUUCCAACCUGAAAGGGCUGAUCAAACAGCUUUUAUUUUAAUAUCCCUGCUUCCAGUUGAGAACUCCAAUCCUGUGUUGAGGCUGGACCCGGAAAAAGACCCUGAAGAGGAUAUCAGCAGAGUUGGGGGUUUCGAAGGCUUGUCUCCUUGACUUGAAGAUGGCGGUCGUCCUGCAUCUUCCCAUCUUUCCACUCUGCUCAUCUGUCUCAGCAUCCCCUCUCCUUAGCAUCUCCUCUCCUACUAAAGGCACCAUCCAUAUGGCAGAAGAACCCACCUGCUCUCACGACCUCAUUUAAACUCCUUCAUCUCUUUCUAGAUCUCCUCUCCAAAUAUGAUUGCAUUCUGAGGUCCCUACAUUAGGAUUUGGGGUGGACACAACACAGUCUAUAAGAAUCGAACCCACUCUCCAGGAAGUAGUACCCAGUGCCUGCUGUCAUUGGACCCAUUUGUC
rnacentral:lncRNA from 1 species